GGUUUCUAAGAAGUAGGGGGCUGCAGGGUAUUGGGGCACAGAAGGCUGCUGUUCAGGAAGUGGGGCAAACUCGGUGCAGUUGGCUGCAGGAACACAGGAGGGAGAAGGAAGUUAGAGGGAGCCUUGUGGCCUCUCUGCGGGGAUGAGAACCACCGCCCAUCCUGGGAACUCCUUCCUGACUGAAAUCCAGCAAGGUGAGGAAGGAGAGAAAAGAUGCCUGCCUGAAUGACUUCUCAACAUUGCAGCAAUGGCCCUGGGGACCAAAAGGCAGAGUUUCUGCAGCUCAACCAGACUGAGCUGUGACUAUCACGCGAUGUGUGUGACACCUGGGAGCCCUGAUGAGAGACUUUACCUGUCGGCGGAAGUCAUUCAAGUCCUCCAGUUUUUUACGAUACACUUCAACUGUUGACUCCAGUUUACUUGCCUUAUCUGCAAAAGUUCUACAAGAAUAAAUAUGAAUUAUGGAAACAGUAAGAUGUAUUUUUCACACAAACAAACUGCAACCAAGCAAAUCAGUCCCUCAGAGUCACAUUGGCUGUCUCCUACUUCAUUUCAACACCAUAUACAUUAUGCUGAAACCAUGGCGCACCACUGGAUGAUGAAAUGAACAAAUACGUAUUGUGUAAUUUCAAAAAUAUGGACGCCUAUUUUACAAAAUAUACUUUCCAUUAGUACAUACUAAUAUACUUUAGUUACCAUAUGUACAUUCAUGCUCAACUAUACAUACUUUUAACAACUACUCCCGGUCAUGACAUGCAAAGAGGAUAGACCAACCAGAUUUGUGUGAACUACCAUCAAGUUAACUACUCCAAACAGAAGUCUAUAACAGCUGUGUGGUAGUUCUGACUUCUCAAAAUGAUGCAUCAUAGGUAUCACAGCACAACCAGAAAUGGCAAUUUGGGACUGAAGCAGAAAUGGCUGGCAUAAAGUUACAGGCUAAAAAUCUUUCCUUAGCUUUGCUAUUUGGUAAAUUCAGCACAAUCAUACAUUUACAGUGGGUGCAAUUACCAGAAAUCAUUUACCAUACCACCUCUGCAAAAGCAAGUUGAUCAAGUUUUGAACACUGAGCAAAACACAUUUUCAGGGUGAGGCCUCUUAUAUCAAGUUUCAGAAUUACAGACCCCUGAAAGUUUGGUUUUAGAAAGAAAGCUGCAGGUGGAACCUUACAUAACAGAAAGAGAAUGGGAACACUAUCAUGCAGGGGAGAAGGAUUACCUCACCUCAGCUCGACUUUACUGAUUUUGUAGACGUACUCGAAGUGACUUGCUUGCCUAAGGUCAGAGAGAAUCUGCAGCAGGGCAGAGAACUGAACCCGAGACUCCAGCAUACAAGACAAGCAACCAGGCUACUGACCAUCCUUCCUCGGAUAGCAACUGGAAGGUCAAUGUCAUCAUAGGGGAAACAUCUGAGCUCUUUCUUGGGGAGUGCUUUUAAAUUAAUGAUAAUUAUAACUUCAAGAACAGAACUCUGGGUUUGGGAUCACAUACAACUCAAAUAUUUUCCAGGAUCUCUCUGCAGUAUCUGUACUCAUCUGCACUUUCUAACCUAAAUGGAGGUUGAUAGCAGCCUUACUCCUUGCUCUUCCUGUCAUAUCCUCCCGCAGUCUCUACUCAGGCAACAGAGGAUAAGAUCAGCCAUUUCACGUCUUUUAAAAAAAAGCUAAGUUUAUGUGCACUGCUUUACUCAGCCAUUCACCUACCUCUUGCACUAUGGGAGACAAUGAAAGAUAAGAGUUAAAUUUACUCUAACUUCCUAGGGUAGCAACAGCAUGUUGCUCUGCCUUUUGUGAAAUACAAGUCUGGGCAUUGAUUUUGGUAAGCUGGUCUGAAGGAAAAAACCACUGGCUGUAUAAAGCAAGAAGCAAGUUAAUUUGUAUAGAUGAAGGACUGAAACGUCUUUCUUUGAAGAUGAUGGGAGAGGCACCUUUGUGUCUACUCUCUGAAUUUUCAAGCAUGAUGUGAAUAAAUUAUUUUUGAAACUCUUAACAUUGCUUUGACUAUUAUAACGAACAUAAAGCAAUUACCUGUUGCUCCAUUUCACCAGAUGUAUCAUUUGUGACAGAACUCAGUAUUUCCUUGCUCAUGAGCUAAAAAAAAAAAAAAAAAAAAUGCCACAUACAUUAUAUCUGUUUGCACUAUUUUACUAUAGAGCUAGUGGCUUCUGUUAUUGAAUAAAAACUUGGAUUUACCACCUCUCCCCCAUUUAACUUCAGUAGUUGUUAGUGGACAGAUACAGAAGUUUCCUGCAUAUCCUUGGGAAACCUUAUUGAAUUAAGGUUAAGUAUCUUUGGGGGUGUCAAAAUAUAAAGGGAAGGGUAAACACCUUUAAAAGCCCUCCUGGCCAGAGGAAAAACCCUUUCACCUGUAAAGGGUUAAGAAGCUAGGAUAACCUCACUGGCACCUGACCAAAAUGACCAAUGAGGAGACAAGAUACUUUCAAAGCUGGAGGGGGGGAGAAACAAAGGUUUGCUCUGUCUGUGUGUUGUUUUUGCCAGGAACAGAAAAGGAAUGGAGUCUUAGAACUUAGUAAGUAAUCUAGCUAGAUAUGCAUUAGAUUCUGGUUUCUUUGAAUGGCUGAUAAAAUAAGCUGUGCUGAAUGGAAUGGAUAUUCCUGUUUUUGUGUCUUUUUGUAACUUAAGGUUUUGCCUAGAGGGACUCUCUAUGUUUUGAAUCUGAUUACCCUGUAAGGUAUUUACCAUCCUGAUUUUACAGAGGUGAUUUUUUUACUUUUUCUCCAAUUAAAAUUCUUCUUUUAAGAACCUGA